AAGGAUAUAGAGGCCAGAGUAAAGGUGUUUGGCUGGGUCCAUAGGCUGCGUAGGCAAGGAAAGAAUUUAAUGUUCCUGGUGUUGCGGGAUGGUACGGGUUAUCUUCAGUGUGUCUUGUUGGAUGAGUUGUGUCAGUGUUAUAAUGGAGUAAUUUUGUCUACUGAGAGUAGUGUUGCUGUAUAUGGAAUGCUAAAUCUUACUCCAGAGGGCAAGCAGGCUCCAGGGGGCCAAGAGCUAAGUUGUGACUUCUGGGAACUUAUGGGGUUGGCCCCUGCUGGAGGAG
rnacentral:lncRNA from 1 species